GGCGUAGUGAUCGCAGAGAGAUACGCGCGGUGAAAACGUGGAGGUUGGCUGCUGGUGAUGCCGGUGGAAAGUGAUGGCGACGUUGGAAACACGCUCACGCACGACACGCACAAUGACACGUGUGAGAGGCAGAAACAGCGAGAGAGAGAGAGAAGAGCAAAGUUGAGCUUGACUUCUGGUCUGGCCGUGCUCGUAGUGUGUGUGUGCAGCGUAGAGGUCACAAAGUCCGGGCUAAACCAGCACUAAACCAGGCCUGAAGAAGAUUGAAACGAAACUGAGCGUAACAAGGACGAAAUCUGAGCUAAAACAAAACAAAAUAACGCGUGAAAAGGAGUUAAGAAACCCUAAAGCAGAUCUGAAAUUGUAGGCAUUUCUCUCAAUUAAACACGAGAUGAUUCACGGUUUUUAAAAUGUUUUUUGCGACGUUUCUAACAAUUUGCAUUAAGUCGUAAAUGUAAUCAACAACAAUCAACAUUUUACGACUGCAAAAGGGUGUAAAUGAGUGUGUAUCGAGGGUUUGGUGAUAAAAAAAAUACACUUAAACAUCAAGAAAUGCUAAAAAGAAACAGAGUGUAGGCCUACUGACUGUCACCGAGUGCGGUCGCCUGUGGAGACUUGAGCAUGCGCGUGGGCGUACGGUGGUCAUGAGAAGGUGGUUGACACUGACAGAACUUGUGAGACAUCCACGCUCCCCGGCCUCGUGGAAAGAAGGAACGCGUCACUCCAAACGCUUCUCAUAUACAAAUGAAAUGAUGAAGAAGAAGAAGAAAAGGAGAAGACAAUAGCAUCCAGAGCAGGGACAAAGCUGGAGUCCAGGCAAGUCCCCAACACUCCACAGCCAGAGUCUAUUCUACAAGGUGAGAGAUUUAAAUUCACAGAGUAAAUAGGUGU